CCCCUAUGUUUUAUUUUUAGCAAUGGCGACCAUGUUUGUUGAUAGAUCAAAACUUCGGAUACAAUUUAUAAAUUAGAUACCCUAAGGAACAUUCAGUUAAAGUUUGAAAGUAUUUGGCCCAGUAGUUUCAGAGGAGAAGAUUCUUGAAAUAGUUUACAACGACAGACGACGGACGACAGACGACGGACGACGACGGACGCCAAGUGAUGGCAUAAGCUCACUUGUCCCUUCGGGACAGGUGAGCUAAAAAAGG
rnacentral:lncRNA from 1 species